UCACAGUGACAUCCUCAGAGUGAUCUGAUGAGGCAAAGCUAAAUUGUGUCUGUCGCCUGUUAAAAACAUGUCCCGGGAAGGAAAACUGCAGCAGGUAUCUCUGAGAGAAAUCUCAACAUAGAAUCACAAGUAGGUGAUAAGGGCAGCAGGAGUUGUGGCUCUUUUUUUGAGGACAGCCCAACAAUGCUCUCAGAAAUUACAGAUGCAGGAGCCCCUGGCAAAUGGUUUAAAUGACAAAGAGGAUACAUCAAGAAAUCUUCAACUGUUCUUUUAUUUCUUAGAAGGACUAACAGCUCUCCAAGUAUUUCAAGUCCUUUUGCUCAGAGCGAUAAGGCCCGCAGGGAGAACCUAUUGAGGCUGCUGGGUUCUUCAGUGUCCUAAACCGGGAGCCUAAACACUGCAGAAAUCUGCACUUCCAGUGUUCCCUUUUUCAGGGACAGAGAGAAAAGGACAUGUCUGGUCAUCAGUGCAUGAGGUGAACAGCUGGACCCUCUGGUUCCAGUCACCAACAGCCAGUUGUGUUUUCUCCUCACUUGUGGAAACUAAAAAAGUGAAACC